UGCCCUGCUUCCUGGUUUCCCCAGAUCCUCUACUGUGGGUCUGCUUUUUGGAAGAUGCCAGCUCACGCAACACACUUGGUGAUCACCAGCUGGAGUGGGUAGAACGCUAUUUGGCUCUACCUGAAUGGGUUGCUGCCUCCCUUAAGGAACUGAGCACCAAAAGUGGAGAGGCAGUACUUCUUGUGGUGGUGGUAUCCCUUUGUCAAUGUGUCAUCUCACUAUUUUUGGUCAUGUUGCUGUGCUGUGAUGCUACUCCUGUGUCUGUCUGUGAUAUUAUG